UACGAAGGCGGCAAGCGUUACUCGGAAUUACUAGGCGUAAAGGGCAGGUAGGUGGUUCGAUAAGUCUGUUGUGUAAGCUCCCGGCUUAACUGGGAGAGGUCAACGGAAACUAUCGGACUUGAGUAUAGGAGAGGUUACUGGAAUUCCCGGUGUAGCGGUGAAAUGCGCAGAGAUCGGGAGGAACACCAAUGGCGAAGGCGGCGAUCUGGACAGAUAUUGACGCUGAGGUGCGAAAGCGUGGGGAGCAAACAGG
rnacentral:rRNA from 1 species